rnacentral:rRNA from 1 species
AAAAACUCCGGUGGUACAAGAUGGACCCGCGUCUGAUUAGCUGGUUGGUGAGGUAACGGCCCACCAAGGCGACGAUCAGUAGCCGGCCUGAGAGGGUGAACGGCCACAUUGGGACUGAGACACGGCCCAGACUCCUACGGGAGGCAGCAGUGGGGGAUAUUGCACAAUGGGGGAAACCCUGAUGCAGCGACGCCGCGUGGAGGAAGAAGGUUUUCGGAUUGUAAACUCCUGUCGUUAGGGACGAUAAUGACGGUACCUAACAAGAAAGCACCGGCUAACUACGUGCCAGCAGCCGCGGUAAAACGUAGGGUGCAAGCGUUGUCCGGAAUUACUGGGUGUAAAGGGAGCGCAGGCGGGAAGACAAGUUGGAAGUGAAAACCAUGGGCUCAACCCAUGAAUUGCUUUCAAAACUGUUUUUCUUGAGUAGUGCAGAGGUAGAUGGAAUUCCCGGUGUAGCGGUGGAAUGCGUAGAUAUCGGGAGGAACACCAGUGGCGAAGGCGGUCUACUGGGCACCAACUGACGCUGAGGCUCGAAAGCAUGGGUAGCAAACAGGAUUAGAUACCCUGGUAGUCCAUGCCGUAAACGAUGAUUACUAGGUGUUGGGGGAUUGACCCCCUCAGUGCCGCAGUUAACACAAUAAGUAAUCCACCUGGGGAGUACGACCGCAAGGUUGAAACUCAAAGGAAUUGACGGGGGCCCGCACAAGCAGUGGAGUAUGUGGUUUAAUUCGAAGCAACGCGAAGAACCUUACCAGGUCUUGACAUCCCGAUGACCGCCUUAGAGAUAAGGCUUUUCUUCGGAACAU